UACGGGGGGGAGCAAGCGUUGUUCGGAUUUACUGGGCGUAAAGCGUGCGCAGGCGGCGCGUUAAGACAGGUGUGAAAGCCCCCGAGCUUAACUUGGGAAUUGCGCUUGUGACUGGCGUGCUGGAGUGUGGCAGAGGGAGGUGGAAUUCCACGUGUAGCAGUGAAAUGCGUAGAGAUGUGGAGGAACACCGAUGGCGAAGGCAGCCUCCUGGGCCAGCACUGACGCUCAUGCACGAAAGCGUGGGGAGCAAACAGG
rnacentral:rRNA from 1 species